GUUAGAGUACAUCGUGGGAACGUACCCUUCGGUUCGGAACAACCAGGAAACUUGGGCUAAUACCGGAUACGUCCGUAAGGAGAAAGAUUUAUCGCCGAAGGAUCGGCCCGGUCUGAUUAGCUAGUUGGUGAGGUAACGGCUCACCAAGGCGACAGAUCAGUAGCUGGUACUGAGAGGAUGAUCAGCCUCACUGGGACUGAGACACGGCCCAGACUCCUACGGGAGGCAGCAGUGGGGAAUAUUGGACAAUGGGCGCAAGCCUGAUCCAGCCAUGCCGCGUGGGUGAUGAAGGCCCUAGGGUUGUAAAGCCCUUUCGGCGGGAAAGAUAAUGACGGUACCCGCAAGAAGAAGCCCCAGGAUUAACUUACGUGCACAAGCAAGCCCGGCGGUAAUACGAAAGGGGGGACUAGCCGUUAGCUCGGAAUUCAACUGGAGCGUAAAGCGCACGGUAAGGCGGAAUUGUAAGUCAG
rnacentral:rRNA from 1 species